AGAGUUUGAUCAUGGCUCAGAACGAACGCUGGCGGCGCGUUUUAAGCAUGCAAGUCGAGCGGUAGCGCACCUUCGGGUGCGUGAGAGCGGCGAACGGGUGAGUAACACGUGGGUGACCUACCCAGAGAUGGGGGAUAGCCUGUGGAAACACAGGGUAAUACCGCAUGAGGUCCACCGACCAUGGUUGGUGGAAGAAAGGCGCGAUUGCGCCGUCUCUGGAUGGGCCCGCGGCCUAUUAGCUAGUUGGCGGGGUAAAGGCCCACCAAGGCGACGAUAGGUAGCCGGCCUGAGAGGGUGAUCGGCCACACUGGAACUGAGACACGGUCCAGACUCCUACGGGAGGCAGCAGCUAAGAAUCUUCCGCAAUGGGCGAAAGCCUGACGGAGCGACGCCGCGUGGGUGAAGAAGGCGGAAACGUUGUAAAACCCUUUUCUUCGUGAGGAAUAAGGGGGAAAGGAAAUGUUCUCCUGAUGACGGUAGCGAAGGAAUAAGCCCCGGCCAAUUACGUGCCAGCAGCCGCGGUAACACGUAUGGGGCGAGCGUUGUUCGGAAUCAUUGGGCGUAAAGGGCGCGCAGGCGGUUGUACAAGUCCGGUGUGAAAGCCCACAGCUUAACUGUGGAGACGCGCUGGAAACUGUGCGACUAGAGUUCAGGAAGGGAAGCUGGAAUUCCAGGUGUAGGGGUGAAAUCUGUAGAUAUCUGGAAGAACAUCAGUGGCGAAGGCGAGCUUCUGGCCAUGAACUGACGCUGAGGCGCGAAAGCGUGGGGAGCAAACAGGAUUAGAUACCCUAGUAGUCC
rnacentral:rRNA from 1 species